CCUACGGGCGGCUGCAGUGGGGAAUCUUGCGCAAUGGACGAAAGUCUGACGCAGCGACGCCGCGUGGGCGACGAAGGCCUUCGGGUUGUAAAGCCCUGUGGGGCGGGACGAACAACUUCCGUGUGAAUAAUGCGGGAGCUUGACGGUACCGCCUUAGCAAGCACCGGCUAACUCUGUGCCAGCAGCCGCGGUAAGACAGAGGGUGCAAACGUUGCUCGGAAUUACGUAGGGUAAAGCGCGUGUAGGUGGCGAAAGCCCAGGGCUCAACCCUGGAAGUGCACUUGAUACUGCGGAGCUUGAGUGCUGAAGAGGAGAGCGGAAUUCCCGGUGUAGAGGUGAAAUUCGUAGAUAUCGGGAGGAACACCAGUGGCGAAGGCGGCUCUCUGGGCAGUAACUGACACUGAGACGCGAAAGCGUGGGUAGCAAACAGGAUUAGAUACCCGAGUAGUC
rnacentral:rRNA from 1 species